CAAAGAUACAAAAAUUUAGGUCCUUUAAGUUUUCACGAAAUUGGAGUGGCCACUUUGUUUUUCUUGUGCGUUUUUCUUUGGAUAUUUCGUAAACCUGGCUUUAUCCGUGGAUGGUCAGAAAUGAUUACUGACAUAGAUCUCAGAGAUUCUGUGCCGGUGAUAUUUGUUUGCAUUCUGAUGUUUUUCAUCCCGAAGGAGCCUAACUUCAUUUACAGUUUCAGCCAAGAUCGUAAGAUGUCACAAAAAUUCUAUUAAACCUUACCCACACAGCACAGGAUAUCGCAAUAUCCACCAGAUAUCCGAGGGAUAUCGCAAUAA